GGUAUGGAAAGGGGGGCUGUUUUUUUUGUUUUUUUUCAAUAAUAUUACAAAUAUAUAUAAAGUUCACCAGUCUGAAAAUACAUGGUUAAAUGAAUUUUAAUUCUGAAAAACUCCUGUUUAUUUAAUUCCUUUAUUAUUUCCAUCAUAAUAAGAAGCAAGCUACAUGUAUAAGGUAUUUCAAACAUAUAUUUUUGGCUUUUAUAUAAGAACAUUCAAGACUAUUAAUAUGUAUGUGCCUGCAGUAAAAACAAACCUGGUAAGGCCUAAAAAAAUUCUACAGGGCUCUUGAAAAAACUUUUGGAUCCAGGCUGGCCUUCAGAGAAAAUGUUAAGUAUUGUUCCUGACUGUAUUGCAGAUUUAUGUGAAGUUUUUAAACUGACAUGCACAAUUCAUUUCACAAGUGUAAUAAAAAUAAUUCUACAAAACAACGCAGCGCAUCGCGUUGCAAAUUCAUCUUAGACCCACCAUGCAUCAAGAAAUAUGUCUUUAUGUGGUAAUAUUAAGUAUUUGAUUUUUUUCAGUGAGAACGCGCUAAAGUGCCCUUUUUUAAAAACGCGCCCCUCUAUUUUCAAAUCCUAGCUGGAACACUGUAUAUAUAUA
rnacentral:lncRNA from 1 species